UACAGAGGGGGCAAGCGUUGUUCGGAAUUACUGGGCGUAAAGGGCGCGUAGGCGGCCUUCUAAGUCGAACGUGAAAUCCCCGGGCUCAACCCGGGAACUGCGUCCGAUAUUGGAAGGCUUGAAUCCGGGAGAGGGAUGCGGAAUUCCAGGUGUAGCGGUGAAAUGCGUAGAUAUCUGGAGGAACACCGGUGGCGAAGGCGGCAUCCUGGACCGGCAUUGACGCUGAGGCGCGAAAGCCAGGGGAGCAAACGGG
rnacentral:rRNA from 1 species